UACAGAGGUCCCGAGCGUUGUUCGGAUUUAUUGGGCGUAAAGGGUGCGUAGGCGGCGGAGUAAGUUGGGUGUGAAAUCCCGGGGCUUAACCUCGGAAUGGCAUUCAAUACUGCUUCGCUCGAGUACUGGAGAGGAGGCUGGAAUUUACGGUGUAGCAGUAGAAAUGCGUAGAUAUCGUGAGGAAGGCCGGUGGCGAAAAGCGAGCCUCUGGACAGUUACUGACGCUGAUGCACGGAAGGCCAGGGGAGGCAAACCGGG
rnacentral:rRNA from 1 species